rnacentral:rRNA from 1 species
GACGAGCUCUCCAAACGUUAUUCGGUAUUACUGGGCUUAAAGAGUUCGUAGGCGGCUCUGUAGGUGAGAUGUGAAAGCCCUCGGCUUAACCGAGGAACUGCGUUUCAAACCACAGGGCUUGAGGGAGAUAGGGGUAAGCGGAACAGAUGGUGGAGCGGUGAAAUGCAUUGAUAUCAUCUGGAACACCGGUGGCGAAGGCGGCUUACUGGGUCUUUUCUGACGCUGAGGCACGAAAGCUAGGGGAGCGAACGGG